GAAGGCCCUAGGGUUGUAAAGCACUUUCAAUUGGGAGGAAAACCUGCCGGUCAAUACCCGGUAGCUUGACAUUACCUUUAGAAGAAGCACCGGCUAACUCCGUGCCAGCAGCCGCGGUAAUACGGAGGGUGCGAGCGUUAAUCGGAAUUACUGGGCGUAAAGCGUGCGUAGGUGGUUCGUUAAGUCAGAUGUGAAAGCCCUGGGCUCAACCUGGGAACUGCAUUUGAAACUGGCGGACUAGAGUUUAGUAGAGGGGAGUGGAAUUUCAGGUGUAGCGGUGAAAUGCGUAGAUAUCUGAAGGAACACCAGUGGCGAAGGCGACUCCCUGGACUAAAGCUGACGCUGAGGUACGAAAGCGUGGGUAGCAAACAGGAUUAGAUACCCUGGUAGUCCACGCCGUAAACGAUGUCGACUAGCCGUUGGUCCUAUAUACAGGAUUAGUGGCGCAGCUAACGCAUUAAGUCGACCGCCUGGGGAGUACGGCCGCAAGGUUAAAACUCAAA
rnacentral:rRNA from 1 species